rnacentral:rRNA from 1 species
ACACCUGUUCCCAUCCCGAACACAGAAGUUAAGCUCAUUUGCGCCGACGAUACUUGGCGGGCAGCCGCCCGGGAAAAUAGGUCGUCGCCGGCU